UACCUCCAAGGAUUGCAUCUGGAGAGUAGAUAGUAUUCUGUCAGGUUUGGAAAAUGGAUGAAAAGCAAAUCUUGCAGACGUACCCAUUCUGUUCCCAGGUUGCUCAGUAGCUGGUGGUUGGAAGAAACUCUGCAACAAUG
ensembl:snoRNA